ACGGGGAGCACCACAACAGGUGGAGCCUGCGGUUUAAUCGGACUCAACGCCGGGAAACUCACCAGAUAAGACAGCUGAAUGAUAGUCGGGCUGAAGACUCUACUUGACUAGCUGAGAGGAGGUGCAUGGCCGUCGUCAGUUCGUACUGUGAAGCAUCCUGUUAAGUCAGGCAACGAGCGAGACCUACGCCAACAGUUGCCAGCUCGUCCUCCGGGAUGGUGGGGACACUGUUGGGACCGCCUCUGCUAAAGAGGAGGAAGGAAUGGGCAACGGUAGGUCAGCAUGCCCCGAAUUAUCUGGGCUACACGCGGGCUACAAUGGGUGGGACAAUGGGUAUCGACACCGAAAGGUGAAGGCAAUCUCCUAAACCCAUCCGUAGUUCGGAUUGUGGGCUGCAACUCGCCCACAUGAAGCUGGAAUCUGUAGUAAUCGUGUCUCAAAAUGGCACGGUGAAUAUGUCCCUGCUCCUU
rnacentral:rRNA from 1 species